ACGGGGGGAGCAAGCGUUGUUCGGAAUCAUUGGGCGUAAAGCGCGUGUAGGCGGUCCGGUAAGUCCGCUGUGAAAGUCGGGGGCUCAACCCUCGAAUGCCGGUGGAUACUGUCGGGCUAGAGUGCGGAAGAGGCGAGUGGAAUUCCUGGUGUAGCGGUGAAAUGCGCAGAUAUCAGGAGGAACACCGAUGGCGAAGGCAGGUCUCUGGGCAUUAACUGACGCUGAGGAGCGAAAGCAUGGGGAGCAAACGGGA
rnacentral:rRNA from 1 species